rnacentral:rRNA from 1 species
CUUAAGCAUAUCAAUAAGCGGAGGAAAAGAAACCAACAGGGAUUGCCUUAGUAACGGCGAGUGAAGCGGCAACAGCUCAAAUUUGAAAUCUGGCCCUCGGGUCCGAAUUGUAAUUUGUAGAGGAUGAUUUUGGUGCGGUAUCUUCCGAGUUCCUUGGAACAGGACGCCUUAGAGGGUGAGAGCCCCGUACGGUUGAAUGCCUAGCCUCUGUAAAUCUCCUUCGACGAGUCGAGUAGUUUGGGAAUGCUGCUCUAAAUGGGAGGUAAAUUUCUUCUAAAGCUAAAUAUUGGCCAGAGACCGAUAGCGCACAAGUAGAGUGAUCGAAAGAUGAAAAGCACUUUGAAAAGAGGGUUAAAUAGCACGUGAAAUUGUUGAAAGGGAAGGAUUUGUGACCAGACUUUUUCUGGGCGGAUCAUCCGGGGUUCUCUCCGGUGCACUUUGCCCAGUAAAGGCCAGCAUCGAUUUUCGGCGGCGGAUAAAAGCAGUGGGAAUGUGGCUCCUUACGGGGAGUGUUAUAGCCCAUUGUAUAAUACGCUGCUGGGGAUCGAGGUACGCGCUUCUGCAAGGAUGCUGGCGUAAUGGUUAUCAAUCACCCGUCUUGAAACACGGACCAAGGAGUCGAACAUUUAUGCGAGUGUUUGGGUGUUAAACCCUCACGCGUAAUGAAAGUGAACGGAGGUGAGAGCCUGUAUGGGUGCAUCAUCGACCGAUCCUGAAGUUUUCGGAUGGAUUUGAGUAAGAGCAUAACUGUUCGGACCCGAAAGAUGGUGAACUAUGCGUGGAUAGGGUGAAGCCAGAGGAAACUCUGGUGGAGGCUCGCAGCGGUUCUGACGUGCAAAUCGAUCGUCAAAUCUGCGCAUGGGGGCGAAAGACUAAUCGAACCAUCUAGUAGCUGGUUACCGCCGA